AUUCAGCUGACGAGUGCCAAAUAAGAUGAAACGUUCAUCCUGGAU
rfam:Schistosoma haematobium scaffold388_2, whole genome shotgun sequence.